AACAAACGCUGGCGGCGUGUCUUAAGCAUGCAAGUUGAGCGGCAAGGAGGAGAGAUCCUCCCUAGAGCGGCGGACUGGUGAGUAACGCGUGGGUAAUCUAUCGUAGGCAUGGGGAUAGUCACUAGAAAUAGUGGGUAAUACCGAAUACGUUCCAUGAGGGGAGUACUUAUGGAAGAAAGGGUGCUACGGCACUGGCCUUAGGUGAGCUCGCGUCCCAUUAGCUAGUUGGUGAGGUAAAGGCCCACCAAGGCGAUGAUGGGUAGCCGGCCUGAGAGGGUGUACGGCCACACUGGGACUGAGAUACGGCCCAGACUCCUACGGGAGGCAGCAGCUAAGAAUAUUCCGCAAUGGACGAAAGUCUGACGGAGCGACGCCGCGUGGAUGAAGAAGGCCGAAAGGUUGUAAAGUUCUUUUGCUAGGGGAGAAUAAGUGAGGAGGGAAUGCCCUCAUGAUGACAAGGACUAGCGAAUAAGCCCGGCAACUACGUGCCAGCAGCCGAC
rnacentral:rRNA from 1 species